rnacentral:rRNA from 1 species
UACAGAGGUCUCAAGCGUUGUUCGGAUUCAUUGGGCGUAAAGGGCGCGUAGGCGGCGCGGUAAGUCGGGUGUGAAAUCUCGGGGCUUAACUCCGAAACUGCAUUCGAUACUGCCGUGCUUGAGGACUGGAGAGGAGACUGGAAUUUACGGUGUAGCGGUGAAAUGCGUAGAUAUCGUAAGGAAGACCAGUGGCGAAGGCGGGUCUCUGGACAGUACCUGACGCUGAGGCACGAAGGUCAGGGGAGCAAACGGG